GCUGUUGAACUGUCGUAGAGGGGAACAGGAAGUUCUGGGUAGAAAACGACAGAACUGUGUUAUGUUGAUAGUGGUUGUGUCCGUUUCAACUGUAUUAUUGUAGGCCGACUCCGAUUAAGUCUGAGGCCGGUAACAUCAACAGUGAGGACAAACCCAGCCUGCCACUCUCCU